UAUCACUUGUCUUUUAAAUGGAGACCUGUAUGAAUGGCAUCACGAGGGCUUAACUGUCUCCUUUUCCAAGUCAAUGAAAUUGAUCCCCCCGUGCAGAAGCGGGGCUGCAAUCAUAAGACGAGAAGACCCUAUGGAGCUUUAGACACUAAAGCAGACCAUACAUUUCCUCCCCCAUAAAGAGAAGGAACCAAAUGACUCCCUGCCCUAAUGUCUUCGGUUGGGGCGACCACGGGGAAUAAAGAAACCCCCGCAUGGAACGGGUAGACUCCUACCUACAGCCAAGAGCCACAGCUCUAACUAACAGAACCUUUGACCUACAGAUCCGGCAAAGCCGAUUAAUGGACCAAGUUACCCUAGGGAUAACAGCGCAAUCCCCUUUUAGAGCCCA
rnacentral:rRNA from 1 species